AUCUACCCGCUGCUGACUUUCUAUACAAUGCGUAUGUGUCCCACGAUACCGCCAAUUAUACACGUUCAUCGGAAUUCCAUAAUUAAUUUACCGUAAAUCGACGCGACGUCUUCGUUGAUACGUUUUUAAACGUUGGAAGACGAUAAAGAAUUCCAUCUCGACGCUUAUGGGCUCGUAUAACGCUGCGGCUAUUUUUCGGCUAUUUCAAAAUUUGCCGGUAUAUCGAGAAAAAGAACACGAACAAAUUUUUGUCAGCAGCUCUCUAAUAAAAUAAGUACCGCGUGCGAAAGUUUCCCAUUGCAAAGUGAAUUAUUUUCUCAUCUUGUCAAUACUUUUUUGUAGUAUCAUUUUGAUAAACAAAAUAUAUUUUCAGCGUGGAUAACGGAGGAAUAAAUUUUCAUCAUCGAUAAUGGUUAGCAGUAACAAAAAUGUGUUCUCAUUGCUUAUAGGCGAUGAUUAUUUGUAAUCGAAAAUAGUUUCCGCUAUCGAUAACGAUUACAGCGAGCAUCUACAGUUUUUCGUUUAAACGAAAAUUAACCUUCUUGCGCUUGGAAUAAUACGUAACACGAUACGGAGACUACGUGGGAAAAACGUACCAAGUUCAAUUUUUACGUUGGUUACUGGUUGAAAAGUAAUAGAUUUUUAUUAUUUCAAAUAGUUUCAUCGUGAGAGUUAUUUCAAUAAAUACAUGCAAACGCUAA